AUGCUGGUGAAGCGGUGGUCCAUGGUGCCUUCAUCGUUGUCGUCCUCGGCAGAAGGUGAGGCCAAGAUGGAUCUCAACAUUCUCUGUGAGAUUCUCAUCCAUGGAAGAUGCAGAAGAAAAACUCAUGCAAAUCGAACGAAGAAGAGAAGAGGAAGGAUCUUGAGGAAGAGGAAAAAACAAGGCAAUGGGACUGUUGACCGGGUACAAGAGCUUCUUCAGAAAACCCAUGCUGCUUUUCUAAAUCGCAAUUUUGUUCAAGGUAAAACCAGCCAAGCCGGAGACUACUACAACCCUUUUUGCAAUAUAUAG
rnacentral:rRNA from 1 species